rnacentral:rRNA from 1 species
UGCCAGCCGCCGCGGUAAUACGGAGGGUGCAAGCGUUGUUCGGAAUUAUUGGGCGUAAAGCGGGUGUAGGCGGUUAGGUAAGUCGGAUGUGAAAGCCCAGGGCCCAACCCUGGAACUGCAUUCGAUACUGCCUAACUAGAGUCUCGGAGGGGGUGGCGGAAUUCCCGGUGUAGAGGUGAAAUUCGUAGAUAUCGGGAGGAACACCAGUGGCGAAGGCGGCCACCUGGACGAUGACUGACGCUCAGACCCGAAAGCGUGGGGAGCAAACAGGAUUAGAUA